rnacentral:lncRNA from 1 species
GUGCGAGCCCACCUGGCUGGACUCCGAGGACCGCUCCUUCCUGCUGUACACCAGCGGCAGCACCGGCAAGCCCAAGGGCGUGGUGCACUGCGUGGGCGGCUACAUGGUGGGCGUGGGCGUCAGCUGCCGCUACCUGUACGACAUGCGGCCCGGCGACGUGGUGUUCACCACCGCCGACUGGUGAGGGGGGAGGCGGUGAGGAGGGCAGGGAUGCGGGUUUUGCAUGCCUCAGUGGUUUGGAGGGAGGUUGUAGGGCAGGAGGUGGCGUGCAACACCGAUUCAGUGUUGUUGUGUGCGCGCCGUCCUGUAUCCCGCUGUCCCUGGUAGACCCCCGAGCCGGCAGCCCCUCCCAGCGGCCUCCCGCCUCUUUCCACUCCCAAGCGCUGCUUCUUCUAUUUGCGUCCUAGAGCCUCUCUGCGCGGGUAGCAAGCUCUCAAAUGCCCCUAACUUGCACCCAACCACCCACGGGUCACCC